GACGAACCGUGCGAACGUUAUUCGGAAUCACUGGGCUUAAAGCGCGUGUAGGCGGGACGGCACGUCGGUCGCUGAAAGCCCCCGGCUCAACCGGGGGAACGGGCGCCGAUACGACCGCCCUGGAGGAACGUAGGGGGACCGUGGAACUUCCGGUGGAGCGGUGAAAGUGCGUUGAGAUCGGAAGGAACGCCCGUGGCGAAAGCGAGGUCCUGGACGUUUACGUG
rnacentral:rRNA from 1 species